AUCCAGACAAUCAAAAUUUUAAUUGAUGUCAUUGGCAUUGUAACAAAGGUGUAAAGUAUUGAGCAAACAAAUGUUAACAACAGACCAACAUCACGACACACAAUAAUGAUACAAAAUAUAAGAAAUGAACAGCUGCAAGUUACUUUAUGGGGACAUAAAGCAUAUCAAUUUGACGAAAAUGUCUUUAAAUCAAUAAAAGGACCAGUUGUAACAGUCUUUGCAGCAAUGUUACUCAGCAAUAUCUAGCUAAAAACACAACACCAAAAAUUGAUAAAACAAG